AACACAGAACAAAAUAAAAUCAGUCAGUCAGUCCUCUAAAAAAGAGGCCAGAGCAACGAAAAACACUCAAACCUAUUGGAAAUACUUCCAAUAGUAUCUGAUCCCAGGUCUGUAACCAUCAUCACAUCCUGGAGGUGUGUCAGUCUAACCCACGGUUGAGGAGGUGUGUCAGUCUAACCCACGGUUGAGGAGGUGUGUCAGUCUAACCCACGGUUGAGGAGGUGUGUCAGUCUAACCCACGGUUGAGGAGGUGUGUCAGUCUAACCCACGGUUGAGCAGGUGUGUCAGUUUUACCCACGGUUGAGGAGGUGUGUCAGUCUAACCCACGGUUGAGGAGGUGUGUCAGUCUAACCCACGGUUGAGGUGGUGUGUCAGUCUAACCCACGGUUGAGGAGGUGUGUCAGUCUUACCCACGGUGAGGAGGUGUGUCAGUCUUACCCACGGUUGAGGAGGUGUGUCAGUCUUACCCACGGUGAGGAGGUGUAUCAGUCUUACCCACGGUGAGGAGGUGUGUCAGUCUUACCCACGGUGAGGAGGUGUGUCAGUCUUACCCACGGUGAGGAGGUGUGUCAGUCUUACCCACGGUGAGGAGGUGUGUCAGUCUUACCCACGGUGAGGAGGUGUGUCAGUCUUACCCACGGUUGAGGAGGUGUGUCAGUCUUACCCACGGUGAGGAGGUGUGUCAGUCUUACCCACGGUGAGGAGGUGUGUCAGUCUUACCCACGGUGAGGAGGUGUGUCAGUCUUACCCACGGUGAGGAGGUGUGUCAGUCUUACCCACGGUGAGGAGGUGUGUCAGUCUUACCCACGGUGAGGAGGUGUAUCAGUCUUACCCACGGUGAGGAGGUGUGUCAGUCUUACCCACGGUGAGGAGGUGUAUCAGUCUUACCCACGGUGAGGAGGUGUGUCAGUCUUACCCACGGUGAGGAGGUGUGUCAGUCUUACCCACGGUGAGGAGGUGUGUCAGUCUUACCCACGGUGAGGAGGUGUGUCAGUCUUACCCACGGUUGAGGAGGUGUGUCAGUCUUACCCACGGUGAGGAGGUGUGUCAGUCUUACCCACGGUUGAGGAGGUGUGUCAGUCUUACCCACGGUGAGGAGGUGUAUCAGUCUUACCCACGGUGAGGAGGUGUGUCAGUCUUACCCACGGUGAGGAGGUGUGUCAGUCUUACCCACGGUGAGGAGGUGUGUCAGUCUUACCCACGGUGAGGAGGUGUGUCAGUCUUACCCACGGUGAGGUGUGUCAGUCUUACCCACGGUGAGGAGGUGUAUCAGUCUUACCCACGGUGAGGAGGUGUGUCAGUCUUACCCACGGUGAGGAGGUGUGUCAGUCUUACCCACGGUGAGGAGGUGUGUCAGUCUUACCCACGGUGAGGAGGUGUAUCAGUCUUACCCACGGUGAGGAGGUGUAUCAGUCUUACCCACGGUGAGGAGGUGCCAUGUGACAGCGGGUGUGGCGAAGCAAGCAAAGACAUCGUCAGUGCUGGCGAAGUGAGUGAGGUGAGGGCAGGCUACAGCUUGACCCCUACA